UUGUAUGGAGGUGGAGGUGGCGAUUUGUACUUGUAUGGUGGUGGCGGUGGAGAUUCAUACUUGUAAGGAGGCGGUGGGGGCGACUCAUACUUGUAUGGAGGUGGAGGCGGGGACUCGUACUUGUAUGGAGGUGGAGGUGGUGAUUCGUACUUGUAUGGUGGCGGUGGCGGUGACUCAUACUUGUAUGGCGGGGGCGGUGGAGACUCAUACUUGUAUGGUGGCGGCGGUGGCGACUCAUACUUGUAUGGUGGUGGUGGUGGGGNNNNNNNNNNNNNNNNNNNNNNNNNNNNNNNNNNNNNNNNNNNNNNNNNNNNNNNNNNNNNNNNNNNNNNNNNNNNNNNNNNNNNNNNNNNNNNNNNNNNAAAGCGGCACCCUGUUGCUUGGGGCGUUUCCUUAGAUGAUAUAAGGCUGCACUAAGCACAGUUCAAAGAAAAAGCCAACAAAGUUGGCACCUUGUCACAACACAAAGAAGACUUCAACAUCGUGCUCAUGCGGAAAUAUCGUCAGUUUUUCUUUGAUUCUAAGAAAAAGGAAGGAUUCCAUGCUACAGCUUUGUCUGAAUUUUUCUCCAUGGAAGAUCAACCUCGAUAUGGCACAGCACACCACAAAGAAGUCCCAUUUACACACCAACACACAAACACUGUUUCGUCGAUAUUUUUCCAUCUCUGCUGAGGAAACUCACACCACACCGUUGAAACUCGCGAUGUCGUCGGGCCUGACUCAAGCUUUGACCAUCGGAAGGAACGUGUCACAGGGAAGAAGAAAAAGAGAUGAGCUAAAAGCUAGGUUUCCACGAGCUAAAAGAAGACAUCGCUGGGCUUUGCCUUGGCCUUGUCCUUCAGAGUCAUGGAUUGCUCUUUGGAGAAAUCCCUUAGUUGUCAUCCUCCACAACUUCGGAUCAGAUGUGUCCCGCAAACAUGAAAGACUGGUAAAUGUUAUGGUUCCCAGAAGAGUCACGUAUGGAAUCCCGCAUUCAAGUUUGAACCUGGAAGUUCUUAUCAUAGCAAAAGCAAAAGAAAGAACACAAUCCAUGUCGAGAAGCUCGGCGAGAUCCAGUCACAAACUUUCUCGUCCUUGGCAUUCUUCUUGAGCUCCAGUCAUAGGCGACCAUAGUCGGCGCUGUGGAGCGUGGCCGCCUGGGUCACAACCAGCACCUUCUUGCCCUCGUGAUCCACAAAGAUGGAUCGCAGCGCCUCGGCAUUGCCAUUGACGAAGAAUCCAAACUGGACAGCGAUGGCGCGCCACACAUCGUCUGGCCUGAUCACCAGACCAGAUUGUGGUGGAAGCUGUAAGCUCUGAUCGCGCUCGCCACGAAGCCAUUCCUCUCCGGAUGGAAGGCGCUGGCGUCCACGCUGGCGUCCUGCAACACCUGCCUGCUGGAAAUCUUUGAGUCCCUCCAGGACAUGGGCGUGCUGUGGCGUAGAUCUCGGCACCACGGCCGGCUCGGGAAAACUAGUUUUAAAACAGUUCUCAAUAAUUUCCGGCCGGCUUUGUCAUUAGCAUUAUUCUAAAGUCCUUUGUCUAAAUCAAAUGGAAUUCCAUCUCUUAUUCUGUAUAUAUUGCACAAGAUCUUAGUGAGAAGAUAUUGGUGACGAGGUAUGAUUUCAGUGAAUGAGAACAUGAGACCAAACUUAUAUUCAAAUUAUAAUGCUUCACAGCAUAUUUUUCAGUUUUUUAUAUAAGUUUUCUUUUUUAACUUAAUGACUGAUUUUCAUUAAAAUAGUAAAAAGUAAAUAAUUAUUCUGUAAUAGUAAUAAUUUGUUAGACUAUGUAGGAACGCUUUGUGUGCUUGGAAAAGAAAAUAUAUUAUUAUUGGUUACUAACAAAUAUUAUAAACUGAAUCUAUAUAUAUAUAUAUAGAGAGAGAGAGAGAGAGAGAGAGAUAGAGAGAGAGAGAGAGACACAGAGAGAGAGAAAGAGAGUUUAUAUAUAUAUAUAUAUAUAUUCUAAUAAAAAAUGAUUAAGCUCAUAUUUUAAUUGAGAAAUUAGAUGACUUUUAAAUAUAAAGAAAUCCCUAUAAUAUAAUCCUUAAAACUGGUAUUCUUUAAUCAAUGAAUCCAGUAAGAUCCCAGCUCUCUAGAUGAACUAUGUUGGUUUGUAUAAAAAGUGUUAAAGCACUCUUGACAUAAAGAAAAAUUUUCACAAAUUAAAAGAUAUCAUGGAGUGCAUGGAAAUUUAUGACAUACAUUAUAAUGUUGAAAAUUAAAAUAAUCAUAUCCAUUAAAAUGCAAGUACUUUUGUGGCAGAAGCUUAGGCUAAACUUUGGUGGCCACAUGACUUUUACUGGGAUUCUUUUAUUUUUAUCCAAGAGUUAUUUGUGUGGGAGGUGCUCUUCAAGGAUUGUGUUAGAUCUUAAGCAAGAAACUAGAAAGUAGAGGCCAAAAAGUCCAUGUAUAAUUGUUAAUCUAUUGAAGGAGUGAGAGAAAGCUAAAACCUUAAAAGUUGCUCACACUCACUCAUAGAUGGUAAACAUAACUUAUAUUAGUGAUAACUAAGAAUAUUAAAAUUAAAUGUUAUUACAGAGAAAAGUUUAAAGGAGAAAUCUGUUAGAUUAAAAAAUAUUUUAGAAUAUACAUGCAAGAGUGGGCAAUGUGAGCCUAGAAUGGUUUCUAUUGUUCUGAUAGUGGAGAUACUUUCUCCAACUAUCUCAAUACAACUCCAUUUUGAAAACCUUAUUUACUUUUGUCUGGCCAUAGAUGUGUCACAGGUAACUAUAUGGAAUUACUUUUUUGUUCCUCAUUUUUUCAACAAUUGUCCAAAGAUUGUAGUAGGAAGAAUUCCCUACUACAGUUUUGGCUGAAUUCUUUUACAUUGAAAAUCUAACCUCCACAUUUAGAGCCACCACAUAUUCAUGACCUCAUCAGACACCAACACCCUCACAACACACUAUUUUGUCAAUAUUUUUCCAUCUCUGCCCGUGCGACAUCAUGAUCGUCCGGCCUAACUCAAGCUUUGAACGAUUCCUGCUGGAAAAGAAGGAAACAAACAAGGGAAAAAGAGAUUAGCCAGAGUUACGGAUGAGAAAAACGUAACAGCUCACCAUGAUCCCAAAGCUUGCAGGUUUCUACAAACUAAAAGAAGCCAUCAUGGCUGGGAUUUGCCUUGGCCUUGUCCUUGAGAGUCAUGGCCCAGACAGCUUUUGGAGCAAUCCCUUUGUUGUCAUCCUUCACAACUUCGUAUCCCAUGUGUCCCGCAAACAUGAAAGCCUCGUAAGUUUUCCCGUUGUCGUCCACCUUGACAUCCAGCGUGAGGUAGCCGGGAGCAAUGUUGCUGUCGUCGAUGAACGGAUACUCAAGCUCCACAGCUUUGUCCCCGGAGAAGAGAUCCCGGUAACUCUUUUGAUCGCCACGCCACUUUCCAUCGCUGUCAAAAACACAGAAGGAAGAGAUCCAGCCGGAGAUGUAUGUCGGCCCCGAUCCUCCUCCCAAGUGGUGACAAAUUCUGUUCCAAAAGUCCGUGUCAACGUUGCCUUUGCUGCUCUCCACCAACUGGGCAGUGAUUUUCUUGAGCAUGACACGCCACUUCUGGCACUCGCUCCCAUACUUGUCCAGUUCGUCGAUCCUCCGAUCGAUUUCUUCCCAAUCCUCGGUGGUUCCCAGGAGAGUCACGUAUGGAAUCCCGCACAAAAGUUGGAACCUGGAUAGAAACAAGCCCUUAGCUUCAAAGAUUUAACUACAGCGAGAGACAAACCUGGAGAACACAUAGCGUACCAUUGACAGCAACGCAAACAAAAAGAAGUACGCAGAGUGGACACAAUAGAAUGACAGUGAGAGGUGAUUAAACUCUAUCACGUCGUUUUUCACGCAGACAAGAACGGAAAAGAAAACAAGGGAAAAAAAGAAGGAAAACUCACACACACACAGAGCAAAACCAUAGCUAGAACCAAGAGGGUGAAUCAACUUACUUGUAUUCGAAGUAGCUCUUGAAGGUUGCCAUGAGAACCACACUGCCCACCACCACAUCGUUCUUGGUUGUAGUCGAGAAGCUCGGCAAGAUCCAGUCGCAGACCUUCCCGUCCCUGAUAUUCUUCUUGAGCUCCACGCUCAUCUCCCUCGCCAGGAGCCCAUAGUCGGCGCUGUGGAGCGCGGCCGCCUGGGACACAACCAGCUCCUUCUUGCCCUGGUGAUCCACAAAGAUGGAUCGCAGCGCCUCGGCAUUGCCAUUGACGAAGAAUCCAAACUGGAUGGCGAUGGCGAGCCACACAUCGUCGGGGCGAAUUACCAGAUUGUGGUGAGAGCUGUAAGCUUUGAUUGCGCUUGCGACGAAGCCAUUCUUCUGUGGAUGAAAGGCACUCGCGUCGACGCUAGUGCCUUGCAACACCUGGUAGCAGCCCUCCUGCCGGAAAUCCUUGAAUCCCUCCAGGAAAUGGCCGCGGCCUGGCGGAGAUUGCUUCACCUGCGCCGGAUCCUUGUCGCAAACCCUAAAUGUCACCAUUCUCUCUUCUCCCUCCCUCGCUAGCAAUCCACACUGUUUAAAUUGAUGGACCUUCACCCACGUGGCAAGGAUUACAUGUUAAAUUUCUAUUGGCCAGAACGAUAUUAAAACUCAAGUCCAACGAAGAAGAAGCACGAGGAGCGAAAAAGUCGAGUCGAUUGAUCACCCGCUCCAAGAAGAAAAACCAUGCCUAAAGCCCAUAUUUACAGUUGGCAAAGUGGUGUUAUUAUCCUGCUUCUAUUAUCCCGGUUAACGCUGCACUUGAAAGAAUGCCAAAAACAAUUUGGCAGCUUGUCAUAACACGGGCACACGCACAAAAAGAAAACUUUGAAAUAUGUCUAGGCUCGCCACGCUGGUGCGUCAACUGUCUCUCGAUUCCAAGAAAAAGGAAGGAUUUGCUACAGUUUUGGACGACUGCAGGUUUCAAUGGUAUGGUGUCAAUGGGAAAAUUUGCGACGAAAUAGUGUUUGUGGAGGUGUCCGUGCGUGGUGAGUUCAUGUAUAUAUGGUGGCAAUAUCAAGGCAUGACCAGAAGGAACGAUUCGUUCAAAGUCACAGCCUGUAUGAAUUAGCCAGAGUCACUGAUCAAUAGAAACUGAAAAACUGAGCUUUCCACGAGCUGAAAGAAGCCAUGGCUGGGCUUUGCCUUGGCCUUGUCCUCUACAGUUCUUCCCCUGUCGUGGCAUGCUAAAUUUCUGGACGAUUGCUGGUAGCAUUGCCAUACCAUAUAGUGACAUAAAAAAAAAGUACAAAAUCAACUUAAUAGCUAAAUGAAAUCCCAAGAAGAAAGACCAUGUGAAAGGAAUAGAGAUUGAGGUGAAAUGUGGCCCAAAGGGUCAUCCCUCAAAAGUUUGAGAAGAGCCGAUAUCUAACAUGUUGAAACAUUCACAGAUAAAUGCUUCCUUGGCCAAAGAUUAAAACCUAUACACAGAAGAUGCAGCUUUUCUUGUCGAAACCUUUAGGUUUAGGAAAAAAAUUCUGAAAUACCUGAUACAUAAAUAAUUUGCUACGUGUUAGUAAUGUUUGGUUUGCUUAAUCCUAUUUAUUAAUCCUAUUGAUCAAAUAAAAGUUUAUAAUUAAAUUUUUUUUAUAAUUUAUAAACACAAGAUUACAUAUCAACCAUUAAAUGGUAGAAUAUAUUAGAAAGUGUUUAAGCAAAUUAAUAAAUUAUAAACCUGUUUAUACAUUAUAUAGAUAAAAUUAAUCUAAAUAGAUUAAAUAGUAGAAUAUCCUAAAAUAUCUAAAUAUAUUCUAAAUAUUUGCUUAAGCAAACCAAAAAUUUAAAGGGUUUUGCCAUUUACACACUUACACAUUUGAAGUAUUCCACAAACGUUCUUGACGCACUUAAUCAGCGGUGCACUGUAGCUGUGGUAUGUCCCUCUACCCUUUAUCGUUCUGUGGCCCGAUCGGACACUUGGGGUGUCGAAGAACAAAGAACUUGUCUCUAGAGCAAUAUCGCAAGUUCGGAAGGUCUACAAGGACACUCAACUUGUGAUAAUUAUAAUAAUCCCCCUCGCACAUUGCAACCAGAGUCCUCGAGUUGGGGUAGUAAUAAGGAUAUAUGCAACUCCUGAGGAAGCCACCACAGUCUUCAAUUGUAAUUGGUCCUGCGAAAGCGACUGAACUAAAGGAAAACAAGAGAGGAAAGUACCUCAUUGUUUUUCAUUUCCACAGUUAUAUAUGAGGAUUGGAGUGAAUCGGUUUUGACUGUGAAGAUCUCAUCUUGGUCACUGUGCACUUGCCAAAUAUGAUGGAUUUCCAUAACAGGCUACCGUUCCACUUCUGUGUACGUGUACAAUGAACAGAAACCAUCGAGGCUAGAUUCUUGGCCUGUUGUGUGCGCUUGGAAACAAUUGGCCAAUCGCAGAACACACAAAGCUACUUGUUUUUACUCACCUUUGAGCAGUGUCCUGCUUCACGCUAAAGCGCUAGACGAUCGAAUCCACUGUUCCACGGCGGAGUUUUCCAAAGCAAGAAGUGCACUCCCGGACGCUGGCUUUGCUGCUGUUCCCGCUGUGUUGUGGUUAGAAGCCUCUCUUUCUCUCUCCCGCGCGAUAAUGCGGCGUCGAGAGCUCCCGAAUUCCCCAAGCACUAGCAUCGAUUGCUCGGCGCCAUGCUGCGACACCAACGGGACGCACCACCGCUGGAUCAUCUGCCCAAAAAGGCACGGAAGUUGCUCUGGAAUGGCCCUGAGAAAUCCGCCGGGUCACCAUGAUGGAUAGAUCGAUCUCCUCCACCGCCGCGAAUGGCCGGGGCUCUUGCAUGUGCUCCAUCACCAGGCACACAAUCUUAGCGCGCUGCCUCCCGAAAGCCCAGCCUAUCGCCGCAGCGCUUUAACUCCGGUCCGAAACUUUUACCGGCCCAAUUUUUGCUCUCUCGGUACUGCUUGAAGAGGUUGUGGCGAGCCAAAGCGUUUCGCUUCUUGUCUUCCUUUUUCUUGUCCAGUCCUCUUUACGUCCCCUUAGCACUUGGCCAACACAUUCUUUCUAGAAAUCCUGUAAACGGGUAUCAUCAAUCGAUGAAAUUGUUAUGUGCGAGACUGGCCGUCAGUGGUUAGGGUGGGAAGCCUGUGGUUGUCAAGGCGAGGAAUGGAGCUGGGACGAAACUCUGGGAAGAACUGUGAGAGAGGUGCCAGGCGUGCAUGGUCUCGUCUGGAUUGCAUUUAUGAGAGCUAUGGGGACGUCCAUGCUAGAUCAAUCAUACUGAUUGUUUUAGCGCUUUGGCGACCUGGGCGAUAAUCAUGAAAGAGCGUACACAAAUCCAUAUGUUUAGGGUAGAUUCGCUGGCUACAAGGUGGCGCUGAGGGCUUUGGCAUUUUCAGUCUUUCGCGGCCAGCGGAAGAAUCAUUGUCCCUGCACCUUCGAUCCAGGUUAGCACCAUUCUCCAAUCUGUGCAGUUUUUGCUUUGGAGAUGUGGGAGUGGAUUUUGGUUCAGGGGUUGGAGUCACCUUGGGAGCCAUGGGAGGUAGCUCCUGACGGGUUCUCUUGGAGGGAUUGACACGAGCCUUCCACGAGUCCGUUUUUCCUAGAGGCCCAACCGCCACCCUAAGAAGGAAGUUGAGAGUUAAAAGAGCAGUGGUGCAUAGGAGUGAUGAGGGCCAAACUGCGGCCGGGGAGGAGUUGGCUGAAAUGAAGGGCCCGGGAUGGAGAAAGGAGAGAAACUGAAUCCAAAGAAAGCAGAGAAGAAAGUGGGUUUCAAAGGCGAGGGGACCUUGGAUGGGCAGGAACAAGGACAAUCGGACAUAUCUAGUGAGAAGAAUGCAGAGAGAAUGCUAGAGGCAUGGAGAAACGGUCACGAUCGGGUGAGGAGGAGGAAGCCUUGCAGGAUAUUUAAGGGACUGUGAUGCCAGAGGAGUUGAAGCAACUACUGCCAAGAUUUCCUCAUGUUUUCUGACGGCCUAUCGCAUAUGGAGGCAAGCGAGAGAACGGGUAGAAGGCAUCAUAUUAUCUGGAGCCAGGCUCUCCAACGUCAACAAGAGCAUCUGAGGAGCGAGGUACAGGAGUUGCUUGCACAAGGACUCAUCGAAAACAACUUGUGGUCAUUUGUAGCUCCAGUAUUGCUUGCCAUGAUGGAACAGGUGUAAAGGAAUAGUACUUGACAUAUAUUGGUACAGCACUUCUCUAUAUACACAUCCUAGUUCCUUUGGUUGCACCUUGAUCUCUCCUUGGUUCCAACACUCCCCCUCGAUCUGAUGUCUUUUAAUCAGAUUGCUGCUCCCCCUGUGAAACCAGUCCAAGUUGUUGUCGUAGUCAUUCAAACUGUCGGACUUCAAUUGUAGUCUUUGUGAGCAGAUCUGCAGUCAUCUUUAUUGUGGGGAUGUAUCUCAGCCUGACUUCUUCUCUCUUGAUCCACUCCCUGAUAAAGUAAUGAAACAUCUUUGUUUCUCCCAUGAUGCACUGGGUUCACGAUGGACUGAAGACAUACUGUGUUGUCAUUGUAGAUAUUCAGUGGUACUUGCAUCUCAAAACUGAUAUCUUGGAGCAAGCGUCGAAUCCAUAAAGAUUCCUUAACAGCUUCCAUAACCGCAUUGUACUUUGCUUCACAAGUAGCCAAUGCCACCAUCCUUUGUUUCUGGCUAUGCCAUGACACAACUGCAUUAGAGAAUUUGAACAUGUACCCAGUUGUUGAUCUCCUAUCAUCCAGAUCACCAGCAAGAUCAGCAUCUACCAUUCCAUAUGGUAUAAGUGCACUGAAUCCAAUUUCUCCUCCAGCCAUCCCCUUGUACUCGAGAUAAAGUGAUGAAAUUUGUCGUAUGUAGUUAAAGAUUUGCUCUAUUGCAUUGUCUCUUUCUGGGAUUUUGCAUGAACUGGCACACUUUGGAAAUAGCUGCUGCUAUAUCUGGUUUGCUUGAUGUGGCUAAAUACAUCAAUGCUCCAACCACAUUUUGAUAUGGUAGCUUAGCCAUCUCCUUCUUCUCCCCCUCGGAACGUGGUUGAUCCACUUUGGAGAGCUUGUUGAAUUGGAGUGCUAGAGUUGGAACUAGACGGGCAGUAAAGAAACCACCAUAUUCCUUAAUAAGAUUUGAGAUAUACUUAUAUUGAUGGGCUUAUCACGCACAAUUUGUAAGCCUAAGCAAAAGGAAAUUUUACCAAGAUCUGUCAUUCGAAGUUGUUUGGAGAGUAGUUCUUUAAGCCAUUUAAGAUUUGUUGUCUUUCCGGCCAUGAUGAGAUCGUCAACAUAAAUACACAUGAGAAUAAGCAAGCCAUCACAAAAACAAUAAUAUAGAUUCCAAUCUGCUCCUGCACAAGAGAAACCAAGAGUUACAAAAAACUUGUGCAAAGUAUUAUACCAGAAUUGUUUUAAUCCAUAAAUGGACCACUGGAGUUUACAAAUAUAAUGCUCCUUCCCUUGGAUCUCAAAACCUGGAGGUUGCUAUAUAUACACUGGUUCUUCCAGCUUGCUAUUGACAAAUGCAUUCUUAAUGUCCAUUUGCUCAAUCUCAAGUCUAAGUGAUUAGCAAUUGCAAGAACAAAACGAAUAGAAGCUAUUUUAACUAUGGGUGAAAAAAUCUCACUAUAAUUGGUUCUUGCUCGUUAUGUGUAUCCUUUUGCAACUAACCUUGCUUUGUACUGAUCACCUAUCUCCUUAUAUUUUAUCUUGUGAACACACUUACACUGUAUGAUUGAAGCCUUGCAAGGAACCUCAUGUGGUGAAAUGAGUGUCCAGGAACCAUUCUCUAAUUGAGCAUGAUAUUCAUCCUGCAUUGCUUGUCACCAAUGGAAACAUUGCAGUCCAGAGAGUGCUUCUUCUAAGUUUGUUAGCUCAUGAAUUGCUUGUGCUGCUUGUGCAUAAUAAUGUAUAAUGUGGGAUGUAGGUUUCCAAGGUCUGAGAGAGUGUUGGAGCAUCCAGAGAUUCACCAUGCUCUGGCUCUGAUAAGCCACUACUCUCUAGAUUUGCAUGAGCAAUAUCCAACUCAUUAGAAUUCUAAAGCAAAGUACCUCAUUUUGAGAUUUUAGAGUCAUUAUCAUCUAUAGCUGGAGACAAAACUUCUUGAGAUGGCAGUGAAUCCUCAGGUGGUGGUUCAAGGGUAGUGGCAGUGGUGGUUCCAGAGGUAGUGGUGGUUCUGCUGGAGAAGUCUCUGGAGUUGAUAACCCUCAUUAUUGUUAUUUCUAUGUCCUUUGGUUAGAACUGAAUGUAAGAAAUACCUGGUGUCUUUCUUAUUGCUGACUAACGAGGCAGAGUACGCUGGUACAUCUUCUCGAAAGAAAACAGUAUGCCUUUAGUAUUCUCAUUGUAGCCAAGCAUCAUGCAUCUUGUUGAACGAUCUUCCCAUUUAUUUCGUCUUUCCUCAGCUGAAAUGUAUACAUAUCCUACACAUCCAAACACACGUAAAUAUGUAAUAGAUGGUUUUAAACCUGUCCAAAUUUCAUAUGGUGUUUUGUCCAGAUUGCUUUUGUAGGAAGAAUAUUUUGCACAUGAACUGUAGUAUUCACAGCCUUGGCCCAAAAGAAUACUGAAACAUUGAAUGCCUUAAGAAUUGAUCUGGCCGCAUCAAGGACUGUUAACAUCUUCCACUCCACAACCCCGUUUUGACUAUAUUCAUAUUGUGUAGAGAUUUGGAAGAAGAUACCAUGUGAUGCAAGGAUCGUCCGGAAUUCUCGUGAGAGAAGCUCCUGUCUUCCAUUGACUCUAAGUGUGUGGAUUGUCAUCCCACAUUUAUUUUCUGACUCUCGAAUCCAUUCCAGAAACUUACAAGGGUGAUGCUCCCCAAAUAAUAUUUUUACCUCAAGUUGACACUUUCUUUGGAAGUGUUUUCUUUUUCAUCUUAGCUUGAAGACAUACCUCACAUGUGUCUGAACUUGUGUGCUUCAAGUCUGGCACUCCAAAUACUAGCUCAGGGAUUUCCUUCACUCGUUAAAAGCUUGCGUGGCCUAGCUGAAGAUGCCAUAGUUGUAAAUAUGAGUUUUUAGAAAAGGAGAUAGAAUGCACACUUGGAAUGUCUAGUGAAAGGAAAUAAAGGCCAUUCAAGGCCAUUGCCUAAGCAAUUCGUGUUCAAUGAAGAAUAAAAUCUGCUGCAGUGCAAUGAAAGAAUGUGUACACUCCUUGCUCUACGAGUUUCGAGACAGACAGAAGGUGUCUUGCUAGCUUCAGCACAUAUAAAACGUUAGCAACCUCAAGUUGAAGACAUGAAAAAUAAACUGUGCAAUAUACAAUUAUUUGUAAAGCUUCACCACCUGCUAUGCUAAUUGACAUAUCAAAUUUCCUAUAGCUUAUCUGUCUGAAGAACAUCUUAUUUGAAGUCAUGUGAUGCAUUGCUCCACUAUCUUGCAGCCAACUCAUACUCUGACAUUUCCCACUUUGAGCAUAAUUUGAAAAUACGAAAGAUGAGUCCUUGAAAAAUGAAUACCAUUAAGAUUGUCCUCUUCCUCAUGUGCUGCUAAUUUUGCAAUCGGCCCCUUUCAUUUGCAAUCCUUUUGACAGAGACAAUCCAUUGCAAAAUGCCCAAAACCACAGCAUUCAUUGCAACGAACACUCCCAUACUUUUGUCAUGCUUGUUCCACCGAGUUGCAUUCACUUGAAAAUUUUCGUCACUUGAAAGAAUUUCUUCCAGUCAUCUGAGCUGCCAUCGCCACCAUUUCCUCAUCCUUGGACUCUCCAACAUCCUUGUCUUGAAAGACCUUGUUCAAGCUGGCAUAAUGGUGGAUGUUAGCGAUCACUUGAUCCAAUCCUAGACAAAGAUAAUUAUUUGGAGUUCCAUCUUGGCUUUCUAGUACUUCUCAUUCAGUCUGAGUAUCAUGAGAGCACCAGUCGCAUUGGAAAAUUUAGAUCUCAUAUUCUGCAACUUAUCCCUAAGAGCUGUCAUCCGAUCUAUGUAAUCCUGAGCCUUCUCAUGCGGACCUUGGUGGCAGUUCACCAUCUCUUGGAAGAUGCUCAUCUCUAUCACCCAAGACUACUCACAAUAAAAUUGUUGGAGAGUUUUCCAAGCUACAGCUGCUGUUUGAGAAUUUUUCACCUUCAAGAUAUCCUCUGAAUGCACUUGCUCCAUCAGCAUCACUUUUGCAGUGACAUCAUUCUGUUUGAAAUCAUCAUGCCAUCACUGAUAUGCUUGUCUUUGCUCCAUAGACAUUUGAGCAACUUCUUCUGGAGGGAGAAGAAUUGGCACCUAUUCACGCCUUGUGACUACUCCCAAUACCUUCUUCUUGGAGAACUUGGCUUCCAUGAUGGAAAACCAUCGAAAUGCAUUAUCAUGAGAAAGAAGAAGCUUCCCUUCCUCCUUUCCCUUCCCCAUCUCAACCUAAGCCCUUACUGUCUAGCCUAUUCUUGCAAAUCCACACCACUUCUCUGCACUGCUUCUAUGGUUCAUGCCACAAAUCAUUGUACACCACUAAUGGAUUGGAAAAACCAGAGCCCUAGAAAAGAGAAUCUUUUGAUCCCUCUGAUACCAUGAUGGAACAGGUGUAAAGGAAUAGUACUUGACAUAUAUUGGUACAGCACUUCUCACCUUAUAUACACACCCUUUGAUCUCUCCUUGAAGUCACUUGAAUGUUCUUCCCAACUCAUUAUUGAGAAAGUUCAAAAAGCCACCAAGUUUUUUUUUUAUGUGGCAGGGGUAGUGUAUUCUCAGCUAGAGUUGCGGCAACAACAACGCAAUCCAAACAUUUCCACUGGAAGGGCAUGCACAAAGACAUACGAACGUAGAUAGUGCAUUGUCUCGUCUGUCAACAAAUUGAGACAGUUUGUGGGUCUCCCUUCAAUCUAGCCCAAGGAUGCAACCUUUGUUAUCGUUGUCAACAUUUUCAGCAGAGAAGGUUGCAAACAAAUUUACAGUAUGUAUGAGAAGGUUACACUCUUUAGUAAAUAAUAUAAUAUUUUUUAUUUUUAAAAAUAAAAUAAUUUGCUGUGUGUUGCAUGUAGUUUUGUAAUCGUAAUGUUAUUUUUAUUAUUAAUCCAAUGAAAGUUAUAAUUAUAAACAUGUUUAUAAUUUAUAAACACAAGAUUAUUCUUAUUGCAUAUCAACCAUUAAAUGGUAGAAUAAAAAUGAGUAUACUAGAAAGUGUUUAAGAAAGUUUAUAAAUUAUAAAUGCAAGAUUAAUUUAAAUGAAUAACAACCAUUAGAUGGUAGAAUAUCCUAGAAUAUCUAAGCAUAUUUUAGGUAUAUUCACUACCAUCCCACUACUUUAAGAAACCAAAAAUUCAUUGCUUAAGCAAAACCUGAAUGGUAGUGAAUAUGCCUAAAAUAUGUUUAAUAUUCUAGGAUAUUAACGGGUGUUAUUUAGUUAGAUUAAUCUAAACUUUCUUAACACAUUCUAGUAUAUUUUUGGUUUGUUUAAGUAAGCCUACAGGGGGACUGGGAUGAUAGUAGAUAUACCUAGAAUAUGUCAGGAAUCCCUCAAUUCUUGCUACAUUCCUGACUUUUGCCGGAUUCCUGACCUGCAGACCACAUUCCUAACUCUCGAGACACUUCCCUAUCCCUAACUCUCGAGACACUUCCCUAUUCCUGACUCUCUGAUUUCUGAGUCUUGAGCCACAUUCCUGAUGAUGAUGUGGCACUUAUUCGACCUCAACUAUAUUUAGGCCAUCCUCGAUCCAAGAGUGGUGGAGCUUUAUCAACCUAUAGUAUAUAUAGGUUAGCCUUGUUCCAUUUCUCUACAAUCUGAAUCAACACCAGUCAAAGGCCUCUUCUUUCUUUCCACUAGCUUUUCUCUUUGUCUUUUGCAUUUUCCAGUCUUGAUCUUGUUGGGGGUCUUGACAAUUUGAUUCAGAUUGUGUUUUUUGCUUUUGCUUUAGCUCGUUUCGAUUGUUUGAUUGCCUUUUUCUUUUUCCCCCCUUUUUCUUUCUUCUUGCCGAUGGAGUCUCCAAGCCAUCCUGAUUUCUUUGCCGAAGUCCUUGCAAAAAUUCAGUUUGAGAAUACCGAGCUGAAGGUGACCCUUCUUCGCAUGCAGCAAGAGCUUACUUCACUUUUGGCUCAAGGAUCCAACAAAGUCCCUGAACCAAAGGUGAGUUUCCUGGCGAAAUUUUCAGGCAAGCGUUCGGAGCUUCGCGGAUUUCUGAACCAGAUGGAGCUGAUCUUUGCACUUCAACAUUGGCAGUACCCCACUCCCGAGUCUCAAAUCGGCGUGAUUGAGACGUUGCUCGAAGGUACAGUUUUGUCAUGGUUUUCUCCUCUUUUGGAGAAGAGCAUGAAAGGGGUCAUGGUUCCAGAGUUCAAUUGUUCAAAGAGAAGCUCGAAGCAUGUUUUGGCAAGACGAAUCGGGUUCGGGCUGCUACCACAAAGGUGAGACAUUUCUCUCAAGGGUCUUAUUCUGCCUCGAUCUACACUGCAGAGUUCCAACUCCUUGCCUUGGACACUCAGUGGGAUGAGCGGGCCCUGAUUGACCAAUUUCGUUUUGGCCUCAACAACGGUAUCAAGGAUUUGUUGCUCACCAUGGAGGAUCCCAAGGACCUAUUGGACGCCAUCAACAAAGCUGUUCGAUGUGACAAUCGUCUUUUUGAACGUCGUCAGGAAAGUCGCCGCACCGCUGUUUUUCCGUCCCAGACUCAGGAAUCCCAGCUUGAGUCUUCGGGGCAUACUCCUAAACCUACUACUCUGGUCCCGAUGGAUAUUUCUGGUACUCCCCGACUCAUCAAAGGGAAGUUGAGUCCUACUGAGAAGCAACGUCGAAUAUCUCAUAAUUGUUGCCUCUACUGUGAUGAUCCUAACUACAAAGCAGCUAUGUCCCAAGAAGCCUCUCCGACUGCUCGAGUUCACCCUGCCUCAAAGUCCACCUCUGUUGCAAUCGGGAAACGACCCUAUCCAAACAGAGUAGGAGGUGUUUGUUUAGACUCCCCGAAUAAAAAUCACUUUUCUUCUUUACCAAGCUCCUCACCACCUUUCAUCAAAGCCACCACCAAUUCCCGCAACUUCUGCGUCCCAUAUCUCCUUUCUUUCACCGGACAAUCCAGGCUCAAGGCUCUGGCGCUACUGGACUCGGGUGCAACUUCCUACUUCAUGGACACGGACUUUGCUACCCGACAUCACGUUCCUCUUUCUCCUACCAUAUGGGAUCUAAGGGUUGAAGGCAUCGGUGGGCAUUUUGUGUCUCCAUCUUCUAGACUUAGGGAAAUGUUGCCUGUUCGAGUACACAUCGGGUCCACCAUCACCGAUAUCACCUUCAACAUCAUCAAUAGCAAGUCCUCCUCUGUGGUGCUCGGUCUUCCUUGGUUCCAACUACAUCAGCCUCAGAUCUGUUGGAAGGAAUUACAGCUCAUCUCUCCCACAUCACCAUCUCCCACGGCUUCCCCUGCUGUUCAUCGAGUCCGAAUUAGGAAAAGUUCCCUAAACUCAAAUCAGGGUUCUUUUCUUGACUCUACGAAGUUUUCACCCUCUUCUUUUUCCUCUCUUCCAUCUUACACUGGACAGUAUCUUCAUCUCAUCAUUCCAUUUAGUCAUACACCUCCUUCUAUCUCCACAAUCACUAUGAAAGAACUCCUUCAUGAAGAACUUAUUUUCCUUUUUGCUUUGCAUGUUUCUUUUGUCAGCCUUCCUGAGAAGUAUCAUGAUUUUGGGGAUGUGUUUGACAAGAAAAAAGCUAGUGUACUACCUGUUUAUCAGCCUUAUGACUAUCCCAUUGAUUUAUAGAAAGGAGCAUCACCUCCAUAGGGGCCUAUCUAUGGGUUAUCCCCGUCCGAGCUUAAGGCCCUCAAAGAGUACGUGGAUGAGAACCUUGCCUCGGGGUACAUUCAGCAUUCGCAGUCCCCGAUUGGAGCGCCUAUCAUCUUUGUCAAGAAGAAGGAUGGGAGUUUGCGGCUAGUCAUCGACUACCGAGGUUUGAACAAGGUGAUUGUUUGGAACCGUUAUCCGCUACCCCUGAUCUCGGACCUGUUGGAACGCCUCGCGGUGCCCGCUUCUUCACCAAGAUUGACCUCCGUGGAGCAUACAACCUGAUCCGGAUCCGGCCUGAUGAUGAAUGGAAGACUACGUUCUGAACCCGCUAUGCCCACUUCAAGUACACUAUCAUGCCAUUUGGCUUGACAAAUGCUCCAGAAAUUUUCCAACACAUGGCGAACGACGUCUUUCGGGAGUUUCUUGAUCAAAUGGUGAUCGUCUACCUCGAUGACAUCCUCAUCUACUCAAAAACUCAAGAGGAGCACGAUGAACAUGCACGCAAGGUGCUGGCGAAGUUGCGAGAACACGGCCUAUACGCGAAGCUUGAGAAAUGUUCCUUCGAUCAGCAGUUUGUGGAGUUCCUUGGGUACAUUGUCACUCCUGAGGGUAUCACAAUGGAUCCUGCCAAAGUCAAGACUAUUCUCGAAUGGGAGUCUCCACAAUCAAUGUCGAACGUUCAGGUUUUCCUUGGCUUCGCCAACUUCUACCGCAAAUUCAUUGAUCACUACUCUGACAUUGUCCUUCCUCUCACGCAUCUCACUCGCAAGGAUGUUCCCUUCUCUUGGUCUGCUGCUGCCCAGUAGGCCUUCGACACACUCAAGGUGGCCUUCAGUUCUGCUCCCGUCUUGAUCCAUGCUGAUUCCUCACAACCUUUCUUCAUUGAGGCUGACGCCUCCGACUUUGCCAUCGGUGCUGUGCUGUCUCAACUCGGAGCGGAUCAAGAACUUCAUCCGGUCGCUUUCCAUUCUCGGAAAUUCUAGCCUGCGGAGAUCAAUUACGAAAUCCACAACAAGGAGCUCCUUGCCAUCAUGGAUUCCUUUGGAGAGUGGCGCCGUUUCUUGGAAGGGGCGGGCCAUCAAACAACAGUCUGGACGGAUCACAAAAAUCUCAAGUACUUUGCCACUUCCCGAGUUUUAAGCCGUCACCAAGCAAGGUGGGCACAAUUCCUGAGUCGGUUUGACUUUGUUAUCAAGUACAAACCUGGAAAGCUUCAAGGCCUUCCUGAUGCUCUUUCAAGGCGCUCCUAUCUCAAUCUCAGGCCUGGUAAUCCUGCCUUCGAUCAACAGGAUCAAGUUAUUCUUGGUCCUGAUCGACUUCAAGUUAUGGCAAUUUCCCUGGCCCCUCAGGACUCCUCCUUGAUGGAUGUGAUCAGAAACGAUCUUCAAUCCGAUGACCUUGCUAGCGACAUUUUCCCCCAUCUUCAGGCUGAACACCCAGUGACUCCCGACUGCCGGCGAUUUGACGAGUUCGAGUUCUUAGAUGGCUUAUUGUACCGUGGGGAGCAACUUUAUGUUCCUGAAGGUGAUGCUCGAAGAUUGGUCCUGAUAGCGUGCCACGAUAGCCCAACUGCUGGUCACUUUAGCAUUGCGAAAACCUAUGAGCUAGUUGCAUGGGACUUUUGGUGGCCUCACAUGGACAACUACAUCAAAGCUUUUGUUACCUCCUGUGACACUUGCGCCCGGAAUAAGGUACCUCGCCACCUUCCUUCAGGUUUGUUUCGUUCCCUCCUGGUCCCUUCAGGUCCUUGGGAAUCUAUCUCUAUGGAUUUCUUGAGUGAUCUUCCGAGUUCUGGAGGCUUCAACAGCAUUUUAGUCGUGGUGGAUCGCUUCACAAAGAUGGCACACUUCUUGCCAUGUACCAAGGAGUUUUUGGGCGAGGACAUGGCAAAACUGGUAUUUCGGGAAAUUUUCCGACUUUAUGGGAUUCUUACAGAUGUGGUUUCGGAUCGGGGGCCUCAGUUCAUCUUUCAUUUCUGGCAACAGUUUUUGCAGCUGCUUGGAGUGAAGGCCAACCUCUCUUCAGUGUAUCGUCCUCAAACUAAUGGACAGUCCGAGCGAACGAUUCAGACGUUAGAACAAUUCUUGAGGUGCUUCAUCAACUAUCAUCAGGAUAACUAGCUCGAUAUCCUUCCCUUUGCUAAGUUCUACUAUAACAACUCUGUUCACUCCUCUUUUCGAAUUUCCCCUUUCUUUGCGAACUCUGGCCGAAAUCCCCGAUUCAAUCUCUCACUUCCUUCUCCAUCUGAAUCCUCUCGUUCCAAUCCCCGCUCUGAGGCAUUUGUCUCCAACCUCCAGGAAAUCCACAAUUUCAUCUCCUUCCACCUCCAUCGUGCUCAGGAAUCUCACAAAACAUUUGCCAAUGUCCAUCGUCAGGAUUGUCCCCCUUACAAUAUUGGGGAUAAAGUCUGGCUCCUCAAGCGAAAUAUCUCCACCACCAAGCCUUGUCCAAAACUUGAUUUCAAACGCUUCAGUCCUUUCCCUAUCACUGCCAUCAUUAAUCCUGUCACUUAUCGCCUUGCACUUCCCUCCUCAUAUCAAAUUCACCCCAUUUUUCACUCCUCUCUCCUUGAGCCUUAUAUUCCCAGUCCUAUUCCAAAUUGGGUCAUUCCUCCGCCUCCACCAGUGCAACUCGAGGAUGGGUUUGAGUACGAGGUUCAGGACAUCCUUGAUUCCAAGAUUUCACGGUCUAAACUCUACUAUCUGGUCGACUGGAACGGUUACAGACCUGAGGAACGCACUUGGGAACCUGCGGACAACCUGAUUCAUUCUCCUAACUUUGUUCAGGACUUCCACCACCACUAUCCUUCUUGUCCUAGUCCUCAUUCUUUUUCUCCAUCUCCCAUCCCUCGCCGCUCAUUUCAUCCUCCUCGUCAUUCUUGUUCAUCCUCGUUCCACUCGUUCUUGAGGAGGGGGUGCUGUCAGGAAUCCCCCAAUUCUUGCUACAUUCCUGACUCUCGUCGGAUUCCUGACCUGUAGACCACAUUCCUGACUUUCGAGACACUUCCCUAUUCUUAACUCUCUGAUUCCUGAGUCUUGAACCACAUUCCUGAUGAUGAUGUGGCGCCUCCUCAACCUCAGCUAUAUUUAAACCGUCCUCGAUCCAAGAGUGGUGGAACUUCAUCAACUUAUAGUAUAUAUAGGUUAGCCUUGUUCCAUUUCUCCACAAUCUGAAUCAACACCAGUCAAAGGCCUCUUCUUUCUUUCCACUAGCUUUUCUCUUUGUCUUUUGCAUUUUCCAGUCUUGAUCUUGUUGGGGGUCUUGACAGAAUAUGCUUGAAUAUUUUAGGAUAUUCUACCAUCUAAUUGUUAUUAUUCAUUUAGAUUAAUCUUUGUAUUUAUAAUUUAUACACAUGUUUAUAAUUUAUAAAAUUUCUUAAACCCUUUCUAGUAUUUAAUCUGGUGUUUAUAAAUUAGAAAUAUGCUUAUAAUUAUAAAAUUUAUUUGAUAAAUUCGAUUAAUAAGUAAGAAUAACACUACUAUUAAGCAAACUAAGCAUUACUACAUGCAAUGCAUAGCAAUUUACUAUUUAUUCUAAUGGUUGAUAUGAAAUGAUUUAUAAAUUAUAAACAUGUUUAUAAUUAUAGAUUAAUUGGAUUAUUCAAAAAUAUUAAAUAAGAAUAACACUAUUAUUAAGCAAACCAAGCAUUGCUACAUACAAUGUGUAGCAAAUUAUUUUAAUGUGGAGAUGUUAAAAUUUAACUUGGAUAAAGGUUAAGCUAGUAAAGUUUCCCAUUUUUAAUUCAACUCUAUAAGGCUGAAAAGAUGAAAUAAAAAUUCCUUGGAUAUUUAACUUCACAUUUAUUACACAUAUCAUCUGUAUAUUAGUUUUUAAGUUAUUUACUAAAUUCUUCAUUAAUUCUCUUUCUACUUUUCCACCAUAAUUUGAUGAAUAUAAAUUUAGAAAUCGUUUAAUUUUAAUACAGAAAUUUCUAUUCUCAAAUUGACUAAAACUGUUGAAGUAAAAUUUUCAGGAUACCAAGUACAAUGCUUGGUUUUCUUAAUAGUAGUGUUAUUUUUAUUUAUUAAUCUAAUUGAUUAAAUAAAUUUUAUAAUUAUAAGCAUGUUUGUAAUUUAUAAACACAAGAUUAAUCUUAUUGCAUAUAAACCAUUAGAUGAUAGAAUAAAAAAGAAUAUCUUAGGGUUUAAGAAAGUUUAUAAAUUAUAAACAUUUUUUAUAAAUUAUAAAUACAAGAUUAAUCUAAAUGAAUACCUAGAAUAUCCAAGCAUAUUCCAGACAUCCUCCUGGUUUGCUUAAUAUAACAAUCCAAAAUUUAGCAAGCAUAAAAGUUACUGUUUGGAUUGCUAGAAAUAUAAACCUUCUUCUUUCUUAGAAAUAUCCUUAAAACCUAACAACAUGGAAAAAGCGAAUAAAUAUUCAAAGAUGGAUUGAUCAACAAAAAGAGUUUACCCACAGCUCUUUCAGCGAGCCUGCUGAUCCAGCUCCUGGCGCAUGUAGUUCACACAUACAAAGGAUGGAUCAUCUCUUGAUAACUUAAUAAACAGUUUUUAAGCGUUUAAACCACCUGAUAGGAGGCAUGCAGGCUAAAAGCGGCGAAUGGUGACCCCUGCCUUGGCCUUGUCCUUGAGAGUCAUGGCCCAGACCAAAAAACAGUUUGUUUGAGGAGGAUAAGAAAUACUCGCUAAGAUUGAGAAUAAAAUCACAAUAGUCAAUGAUACAGCAACUGAUCACCUAUAAAUGAGCUCCUCAGGUCUAUAUCGCUUGAGUGCCCUGCCAGUUUCAGCACACCUAUGAUAGACAGGCGGGCGAGGGGCGAACAUCACCCGCGUCUCCUCAUCUAUAUCCCAUUGGAACCCCGGACAAGCGCGAGUGAAGAUGCUAGGCAGGUUCGAGAGACAGCCCUUCGUCUCAGGCGAGGUUACCAGGUUGUAGUCGUGGCACAGGUCACAGAGAAUCCCCAGUCCCUGGCUCCUGCUCCACGCCUUGCACACGUACAUGCGUGGCCAGUCCAUCCACGCGAAGUGCCAUUCGUCUUUGAGGUCCGUGAUCACUAUCCACGGCUUGAGGGUGCGGCAUCUGAUGUUCACUCCCACCAACAUCACGAGAGCCCUCCAGAUGUCCACCUCGCCAAUCUCUUCCUUCAUAUAAUAGCCCGUGAUGAUGUCCUCGGCCACACUCAUGUGCAUGAGCAUCGCGUCCAGUUUGAAGCAGAGGGUGUAGGGGAACUCGUCCGGGGUUGUGGUCGAUAUCUCCUCCAUGAAUGUGCCCUCAUCGUUAGCUACAUGCUCCAGCCUGUAAAAACGGGGAACUUUGGCACCCUCCACCAGGUACUCCAUCGUGUCCCCUGGCCUCCUGCUAUUCCACCCUGCGAAGGCUUGGCUCUCAAUUUCCUCCCGCGGUUCUAGCCACCCUUCCCCUCUAAUGAGCUCGAUCUUCGCCGCGGCGAGGACUAGCUGACAGCCUCCAAGUGCCAUGAGACGGACCUCACAGACCUGGUGAUGAAUGCUACCACGUAUUCCAACAAAAUCAUUCGGGCGGAAUGUUAGCUCGUCUCCUGGAAAGAUGACAUCGUCACGUUCCAGAGGACGGCCGUCCCUCACCAAGACGCCUCCGUUCCCCACCUUCGUCCAAAGCCUGUCUAUAAUCUUAAGAGCCUGCUCUCCUGCGUCUGGAAUCUCAAACAGCUCCAGAAGUGACCCGUCUACGCUCCUCACCUGGCACUUGCCCAUCGGAUGCGGGAGCACCGGAUAUGACUUCAUAGUCUUGAGUAGAAAGACGCUAAACUGCAGGCAAGAAGGGCAGAGGAUCAAUGGGGUGAGCGGCCAACACAUAGAGCUAAAAUCUUGGAGUUCAUCGAAAUCUUUGUCAAGAACACGCCCUUGAGGCGUCCAAGACGGAACACACACGUACCGGAUUCCCCCCUGAAGCAAUCAGAGCGCCUCGACCUUUGAUUUUUGCAUGCACCAAGCUCAGGCUCUACACGUUACGUAGACUUAGUAGUCAGAGAGACAAGUGCAACUUAAGCACUUACCUCAGUAGCCAAACGAGGUUCGGCACACACUACAGUCCACUCCAAAGACUCCAUGUUCAGUAGCAUGGUUUCUUUCGUAGAGCCUGUUAUAGAUAUAUGAGGUAUAAACGGAGCAGCAGAAAGCCAAACUUACCACCAACAACAUAGCACUGGUUUUCAGUGACUGCAGUUGCAAAACGUGCGGCAGGCACGAGGGCAGGACCUUGAUCUGGAUACCUGGACCAUUCUCUCUGAAAAACAAUUUGGCGACACCAUCAGAGCUGCGUCUUACUCCGUGCAUACCUCUACGAGAUCCAGUGCGUAUAGGUUCUUGCAGAAGCCUGAUGAGCCAGCUCCGAAAAGGUACAGAUGGUUGCCCUCAUGCACAGCAGCAUGGAAAGAAAGCGCUGGUGGGAUGACGCCACUGCCAUGGAGGCCGCAAGUAAAACAGGAAUUGCGGAUUGAUAUAUUACCGUGCUUCGAUCAGCUCCCACUGAUUGCUUCCCAGAUCGAGUGCAUGUAGCUCACGGCGCAGCUGACCAUGAAAAUCCACACCGCCAUACACCCAUAUUUUGCUCCCGAUCAGGGUGGUGGAGUGACCACGAGUUGCAACCUAUGACUCGAAGAUUUAACGACAAGCUAAAACAUCUAGAAUGCUUGCUUACCGGAGUGUCUCCCCCCGUCUUCAAACGUGACCACUGAUUCGUGUCAAAUUGGUACACUGCAUACACGGAGAUUGAUGAGCCCAAGGCAUGGAAAGGAGGAAAACAAAAGCCACACAGUACCGCGCAUCUUUUCAUCAGACGGAAUGCCAACAACGAGUAAGAGAGUUUUUCCACUUGCUACCUGCAAAGCUCGUCGACCGUGUUUAAGCAAAGCCCCCUAUAAACAACUUGAAGAAUAGCCUCACUCACCACGGAAUGGCCGGCGCACGACACGGGACAAGGUUGGGCUGUCGACCACCUCAAGCCUCCCAAAUCGAAAACCUCCACGAGAGUGUUACUAAGAACCUGAGAAAGAUACUUAACUCACCAGCACAUCGUUCAAGUAUCGGUCCGUGCAGCAUCCUCCUACCACAUACAUCUUCUCCUCGAUGGCAGCCGCGCCAUGCUGCAAGGGAUUCAAGGUAAGACACCAAGCACAAAAUAGCAUACCUGGGAUGCUGCACGGACAUGUCGGCCAACAUCUAUCAACUGCCAUUGAGGUGGCGCACCCGCAUACAGCCGCUUGAACAAGUACCCCACAGCCGCCAUGAUCACAAAAGGAACACCAAAGAACCCUAGAAUUGUGAAAAUGAAGAGGAAGAAAGAAGAGAAGAAGAGGAGGUGAGCGUAGGCCACACUACCAAGUCUCCCAUGUAUCGUACGAUGCGGUUUGUGUCCUCCGGCGUGGCCGACUGGUGAGGGAGGUGGUUUUGGCCGAUGAGGACAGAAUAAUGCCGAGCCCACUUCCUCCGUAUACGUGGAGCAUCGUCGGGGAAGGCUCACAAACAGCCUCCUACCUGGACCAUCUGAAGGACCACGUCAAGUUGCCCCCAAAAUUUGGGUGGUUCGCCGCGACAAGACACCAGUAGUGGCUCUCCGUGAGCAGUGCAGUGUUCUCAGCUGAUUUCAGUGGCACUUCCGAUGCCGCCAUCUGCUUGGUGCAAUCUAUCCUAGCAGGGACAGCGAUUGACGGCCUGAGGGCUCUCAUCGAAGUGAAAAAGCCUGCAGCUUCGAGGACUGGAGAAUACCAAUCCGAAGCAGAAUUGCUCCUGGGGAGCUUUAAAAGCUCCCAAGACAUUCUGCAUCUGAAAAUGGACAUUGUAGUCGGCAAAAUCAGAGUGAUGUGGCUGGCUGGUGGUUUCAUCAACAAGACUUCUUUGGACGCUAAUAUUGGCAUGGGUUUCCUUGCAUAUGCUCUAAAUCAUUCCAAGGGCAUUAGUGGUGCCAUGGCGAGCUUACCUUGGGACAUUGAGUCAGCUGGGGAUGGCCUCUUGCGGCCUCACAUCGCCAGCUGAGGUGGAUUCUUCGGUCAUCAUUCUUCCCCAACAACUUUCUCGGAGAACGUCUUAGCCUCGAGCUCUUUGCCUCUCCAGCAAAAUUCAUCGAAUUCGUGGCGGUUGCAGUUUUUCCGACGUGAAGCUUUGCUCCAGCAUCUGGCAUGUGUUAAGCGUUGGGUCAUUUUAUAACCCUUUUAAUUCACGAGCUGACCGCGAGCUGACUCAAAUUUCUAAUGUAGUUCAAUAAAAAUAUUACAAAGUUAAGGUUCAUGGUGAACCUAACUUUGCAAUAUAUUUUAACAUCUGUUUGCAUUUUAUAUAAAUAAAAAUAUUUUGUUAGAGAUUUCUUAUCAAUAUUCUAUGUGCCAAAAUAUAUAGGUUCAUCAGAAUUGUAAAUAAGAUAAGAUUUAGAUCCAUUCUAUAUGCUUUUUAUAAAUUAUUAUGCCAAGAUUCUUUUGAAUUAAGAUUCUUUUGGAAGGCUAUGUAUCUAUGAGAAGCAUGAAUAUUAUGGGUAUUAUUGCAAAAAGAACACUUGUAUAUAAAAUUUAAAAAAAUUAAAAAUAAAAGUUAUAUAAAAUGAAAAGUAUGUAUUUCUAAUAAUUAUAUAAAAUAUAAAAGUUUUUAAUAUUGGUAGAGAAUACACAUAAUCUAAUUACCUCCAAAAUCUUCUAUAACUCAACAAUAGUAAGGCUUGUUUGAUGUAUAUGAAUAUCCACUAUAUAAUGCAAGAUGUUGAUUAAGACAUAGUAUAUAUGUUUGCAAGGAGUAUAUACCUUUUUAUGUUCCUCGCAGUUUAUAAAGUUUGAACAUAUGCAAGAAAGAAAGUUUUGAAUGACAAUUAUAUACUUUUCACUUUUUGUUUUCACAGUGUACUCUUUUGCUAGUGCAUUGAUGUACUUCAUAGAAAGAAUCUCACACUUAAACGUCUAAAUUAAAUUUAUUUUAUCUUACUUUUGCUUGGAGAUGGUAUUAAUAAAUUUAAUUGCUUUACCUUUUCUUGUAAGUCUCUUAUGCAUCUCUAUGGGAAUAGUGUUAAUUCUAUUACUCAUGUAUUUAACUCUCCUCCUCUCAAAAUUGAAACAAGAUUUCUUAAGAUUUUCAAUCUCAUAUGAAGUGAACUCAACCCUAGUAGCAAUUGGCCAUUCUUUAAGUACUGUAUUAGGUUUUAUCAUCAAGAUUCUCUAUCUUAUAGAAGAAAGUUGCAAAUAGCAUAAUAAAAUGAAACAUUUUUGCAAAAUUGAUAUUUGAAUUUAACAUUAAUGGUGUUAUAGAUGGGAGGAUUGAUUGCAAAUCCUUCAAAAAAUAUGAAUUUUUUACUGUGCUCUCAAUUGCAUGCUUCAUUCAUGCAAUCUAAAUACCCACUAGAAUGAACCAUAGACAUUGUACCAUCCCUUUUCGUUUUGAGCUGGCAAGAGGUGAUAACUCAAAGAAGAUGUUGCUAUUAUAUGUGGAUCAAAGCUCACUUACAGGCCUAUGCAAAAAAUGAAUGCAUGUUAAUAGAAGGGCAGGAAAACUAAAAAGCAUUGCAAAUAACUUUGAAUAUCAAUGAAGUUGGAGUUGGCAAAUUUGUGGCUAACACUAAAUAGGCAUUUCCACUAUAACUAAAAGAGGAGAAAAUAAUAACAAUCAACUUUUGCUUCACAUUCUCUUUAGCAUGAUUACAGCCUUACACUUUGAUUGGAGAUCCAAAAACUCUAAUCUCCUUGGAUUUGGAAUGUUGCAAAUUCCGAUACUAUCCACCUUCAUCCAUACUCGAAAGAAAAAACUCUAUGUGAGACAUAAAUCCCUAUCCCCCAAAGUGAAGCUAAAACAUUGUUAUAUCGCAAUGGUUGAAGUAGAAGUCCAAUGAGCAUAACAUGUUUAGAUUAAAAAUUCCAACUCGGAAAGUCGAGAGCAGGAGUGGAACUCUUGAAAAAGUGCUCAAGGAACGAAUGCUCACUUACACUCUAAUCAUUCAACUAAACUGGUGUUGUGUAAAUAGUCAAAAAGAACAAUUCAAGAAAUAAUUUAUAGAGGUUCAAAUAUAAAAGUUCAAAUAUAGAGGUAAUGGGCUUAUAAACAAAAAUGCACUUUUUUUUCCAAUUGCUUAAGAGUGUUAAAAUACUUGGGGUUAAACAUCCUUGGGUUUAAGUAAUGACCUCCCAAAUUCAAGAAUUUCCAUUUGGUAUUAGAGUGGUCUCAGGUUUGACUUUAUUGGUUCACUAGGGGAAUCACACCAUAUGUAAGAUUGAUAUUAGGCAGGUUUAAUUUGCCUCUAGCUAUGCUUGAACUAAAGGGUAGGGUGUCAAGAGAGUAGUUUUUAGGAGAAUUGCAACUCUCAACUUUCAUUUAUGAGGGCAUAAAUUUAUAGGGAAGUAUAAUGAAUUGCAAAUAACUAAAGGGAAUAACUUGAAAAACUAUUUAUUGGGGUUCAAAUAUAAAAGUAAAGGGCUUAUGAACAAGAAUGCACUCCCUUUUUCAAUUAGUUAAGGGUCUUGGGAUACUUGGGGUUAAGUUGUGAUAUAUAAAUCCUUAAGCCCCAAAGUGGAGCUGAAAAGGUGCCACGUGGUAAUGGCCGAAGCAAAAGCCAAAUGAGCGUAACAUGUUUGGACUAAAAGCUCCAGUUUGAAAAGUCGAGAGCAGGAGUGAAACUUCCAACGAAAUGCUUAAGGAACAAGCACGAAGCGAGCAAUAAGUGAGUCUCUAAAAAAAGGACACAAGAGGACCAACACAUGACACGUGGAAGUGUCAAAGUUGGAGUCUAAGAUAGACUUAAGAUGGAGUCCAAGAUGGAUUCGAGAUGGAGUUCGAAAUGGACCCAAGAUGGAGUCCGAGAUGGAGUUUGAGAUGGACCCGAGAUGGAGUCUGAGAUGGACCCGAGAUGGAGUCUGAGAUGGACCCGAGAUGGACCCGAGAUGAAGUCCAAGAUGGAGUCCAAGAUGGACCCGAGAUGGAAUCUGAGAUGGAAUCCGAGAUGGACUCGAGAUGGAGUCUGAGAUGGAACCGAGACCGAGACCGAAACCGAAACCGAGUCCAAGUCCAAGAUUGAGACCAAGACUGAGACCGAGUCUAAGACCGAGACCAAGACCGAGUCCAGUUCCAAAGAGUUCCAAAAAUAUAGUAGGGAGAGUGUGGGGGUUGGACCCCAGUGGAGCCAAUUUGGCCAGGAAGGACCAGUUUAGCCCAGGAAGGCCAUACUUAAUUAUUGGGUGAUAAAAUAACCACUAGGAAGUCCAAGGCUAAAGUGAAUAUGAACUGACAAGUGAGGUAGCUUGGUGAAGUGUUCAAAAGCCAACUCUAGCUCCCUCAGGAGAUCAAAUGGUUGAUGCUCCUAAUCCAAGCGUAGGUAGCACUACCUACUUGGAUACUUGACAUGGCUCAACGGAACCUUGCUCUAAACCCAUGGCUAAAGCACCCAAAAGUAGAAGGUGGGGAGAGUACUCAUGAGGCUCGUGUAGGGCCACAGUGUUCCGAAAUGUUGUCCCAAAGUCCCAGACUAUGGAAAGGAAGAGGAGUGGUCCUCUGGUGUAGUGACUAAGGAUACGGUCAUAUGGUGAAGAAGUCCUAAAAAUCAGUGGGACUUAAUGGUGAGACUUAUGGGCUUUGUCCCAGUGGAAGUGUUAGUGAACACGGCUAUAGACAAGAAAAGGACUUGGUGGGGACUAUAAAAGAAAUAUUGAGGAAUGUUAUUCCCCAUGUCUAUGGGUAUCUUGAGGAUGUUAAGGAAUGGAUCUAGGAUGAUCACUCAUGGACAGAUGGCCCAAUCUUUGAGAGACGAAACUGCGAUGUAGGUGGUGUUGAACUAUUAGUGUGACCAAAGUGAAUGGGCAUGGCAUUAGUGUAAUGGGUUGAUAUGUCAAUAGUACCUUGGGGUGUUAGUCAUGGGAUCGGACAUGUGUGUAAGGAACUAACUCCCUGAGGUGUCAAAGGCUAAAAGAUCCUCGAAAGCACGAUCAAAAUGAUAAAGAAUUCAUCAGAUGAGACUGAGUCCAAAGUCGAGUCCGAAACUAACUCUAAGACCGAAUUCGAGACCGAGUUCGAGAUCAAGUCCAAGACCGACUCCAAGACCGAGUUUGUGACCGAAUUUGAGACCAAAUCCGAAAUUGAGUCCAAGACCGACUCCAAGACCGAGUUUGUGACCGAGUUUGAGACCGAAUCCGAAAUUGAGUUCGAGACCCGUGCAUGAUCUCGUCCGAAUUGCAAUGAUUUAUGAGAGCUAUGGGGACGUCCAUGCUAGAUCAAUCAUACUGUUGUAAGCUUCUGAGUUUGGACUUCCCGGAAGGUCACCCAGCCCAGUACUAUUCAAACCCAAGGACGCUUAACCCCAAAUAUCCCAAGACCCUUAACCGAUUGGAAAAGGGGGUGCACUCUUGUUCAUGGGCCCUUUCCCUCUAUAUUUGAACCCCAUGGAUCGUCUCUCGAGUCGUUCCCUUUGGUUGCUUACAAUCCACCACGCUUCCCUGCAAGUUCACGCCCUCGUGAACGGAAGCUGAGAGCUGCAGCUCUCCCGAGAGCCCCGCUCUCUUGACACCCUACCCCUCGGGUCGAGCCCAGUGGGAGCAAACUGGACCAGCCAGAUGUCAAUCAACAUGUGGUGCGAUUCCCCUAGCCAACCAACAGAGUCGGACCCGAGACCUCUCUGAUACCAAAUGUAAACUCCUGAGUUUGGACUUCCCGGAAGGUCACCCAGCCCAGUACUAUUCAAACCCAAAGACGCUUAACCCCAAAUAUCCCAAGACCCUUAACCGAUUGGAAAAGGGGGUGCACUCUUGUUCAUGGGCCCUUUCCCUCUAUAUUUGAACCCCAUGGAUCGUCUCUCGAGUCGUUCCCUUUGGUUGCUUACAACUGUUCAGGCAAAUGUUCGAAGCAACAGUAAUAAGCAAAGUGAUAGCUCACAAAUCACAAGUCACGACCGUUUUAGCGCUUUAGCUCGCAAGGGUUAGAAUUUCUGGACCUGGCCGAUAAUCAAAACAAAUCCAUAUGUUUAGGGUAGAUUCUCUGGCCGUUCAAUCCUACAAAUACUUACUUAAGACUCUAAGGUGGCGCUGAGGGCUUUGGGAAAGAGAGUAUGGCAUUUUCAGUCUUUUGCGGCCAGCCACUUCAGCAGCGGAAGAAUCAUUGUCCCUGCACAGGCUAGCGCCAUUCUCCAAUCUGUGCAGUUUUUGCUUUGGAGAUGUGGGAGUGGAUUUUGGUUCAGGGGCUGGAGUCACCUUGGGAGCCAUGGGAAGUAACUUCUCUUGGAGGGAUUGACACGAGCCUUCCACGAGUCGGCUUUUCCUAGAGGCCCAACCGCCGCCCUAAAAAGGAAGUUGGGAGGAAAAAGAGCAGUGGUGCAUAGGAGUCAAGCUGUGGCCGGGGAGGAGUGGGCUGAAAUGAAGGGCCCGGGACGGAGAAAGGAGAGAAACUGGAUCCAGUGAAAGCAGCGAUCCAUCUAUGUGACGAGAAGAAAGCAGAGAACAAAGUGGGUUUCAAAGGCGAGGGAACCUUGGAUGGGCAGGAACAAGGACAACCAGACAUAUCUAGUGAGCAGAAUGCAGAGAGAAAGGUUGCUAGAGGUAUGGAGAAACGGUCACGAUCGGGCGAGGAGGAGGAAGCCUUGCAGGACAUUCAAGGGACUGUGAUGCCAGAGGAGUUGAAGCAACUAGUGCCAAGAUUUCCUCAUGUUUCCUGACGGCAUAUCGCGUCUAUGGAGCCAAGCGAGAGAACGGGUAGAAGGCAUCAUAUUAUCUGGAGCCAGGCUCUCCAACGCCAACAAGAGCAUUCGAGGAGCGAGGUCAGGAGUUGCUCGCACAAGGACUCAUCGAAAACAACUUGCGGUCAUUUGUAGCUCCAGUAUUGCUUGCCCUCAAGAAAGAUGGCUAUCAACUACCGUCAGCUCAACAAGUGGAUCUAUUUGACAACUUAAGAAAGGCUUGCAAAGUGUUAGGCAAUUGAGAACUGAAUUAUGCGUCCCAUUGCCACCCCACUAACAGACAUCUUACGUUCAUGCGGCUUUCUGUGGAACAAAAAAUUCUGAAGCACAUGUAGCGGGCAAAUGGCACUCCACUGAGGUCUGUUCUACACACUGAUCACCUCAGUAUAAAGUUUAUCUUGGACCAAGCUCACCUUAACAAGAAGUAGAGACGUUGGGUAUUGCAACCUCAAGCACUGGAAUUUUCCAUAGAGUUCAAGCCAGGUCACUCGAAUGUUCUUCCCAACUCAUUAUUGAGAAAGUUCAAAAAGCCACCAUUGUCCAUGUUUGCGUUGCUAUAGGAGCAGUGAUUAUGUAUAGCAAGUUCAUCAAGAGUAUGACAGUGUUCCAAAUGUAGGAAAACUUUCAACAUCAUAAGUUUUCUUUUUGCUGUGGUGGGGGUAGUGUAUUCUCAGCCAGAGUUGCGGCAACAACAACAGCAAUCCAAACGUUUCCACUGGAAGGGCAUGCACAAAGACAUACGAACAUGGAUAGUGCAUUGUCUCGUCUGUCAACGAAUUGAGACAGUUUGUGGGUCUCCCUUCAAUCUAGCCCAAGGAUGCAACCUUGGUUAUUGUUGUCAACAUUUUCAGCAGAGAAGGUUGCAAACAAAUUUACAGUAUGUAUGAGAAGACUAUACUCUUAUAUUGCUUUAGUAAAUAAUAUAAUAUUUUGAUUUUUAAAAAUAAAAUAAUUUGCUUUAUGUUGCAUGCUUUGAUUAAUAGUAGUGUUAUUUCUAUUAUUAAUCCAAUUGAUCAACUGGAAGUAAACAUGUUUAUAAUUUAUAAACACAAUAUUAUUAGAUGGUAGAAUAAAUAAAUUGCUUGGUUUGCUUAAUAGCAGUUUUAUUAUUACUUAUUAGUAUACUUGAUCAAAUAAAGUUUAUAAUUAUAAACAUGUUUGUAAUUUAUAAAAACAAGAUUAAUCUAGCCAUUAGAUAAUAGAAUUCUAGAAAUGGUUUUUAUAAAUUAUAAAUAUAAAAUUAAUCUAAAUGAAUAACAACUGUCAGAUGGUAAAAUAUCUUAAAAUAUUUAAGUAUAUUUUAAGUAUAUUCACUAUCAUCCUAACCCCCCUACAGAUUUUCUUAAGCAAACAAAAAAUAAUGCAUUAGAAAGUGUUUAGAAAAGUUUAUAAAUUAUAAACAUAUUUAUAAAUUAUAAAUGAAUAACAACCUUUAAAUGGUAAAAUAUCCUAGAAGAUUCAAGCAUAUCUUAGAUAUAUUCACUACCGUACAAAUUCACUUAAGCAAACCAAAAAUUCAUCAUUUAAGCAAAACACAUACAAAGGCUCUUGAUAACUUAAUAAACAGUUUUUAAGCGUUUAAACCACCUGAUAGAUUGAAGGAGGCAUGCAGGCUAAAAGCGGCGAAUGGUGACCCUUGCCUUGGCCUUGUCCUUGAGAGUCAUGGCCCAGACAGCCUUUGGAGCAAUCCCUUUGCUGUCGUCCUCCACAACUUCGUACCCCAUAUGUCCGGCAAACAUGAAAGCCUCGUAAGCUUUCCCGUUGUCGUCCACCUUGACAUCCACCGUGACGUAGCCGGGAGGGAUACUGUUGUCCUCGAUGACUGGAUACUCGAGCUCCACAGCGUCGUUGUAAAAGUCCUUUCGGUAGGACUUUUCAUCGCCAUGCCAGUGUCCAUCGCUGUCGAAGACGCAGAAGGCAGAGAUCCAGCCGGAGAUGUAUCGCGGGCCCGAUCCUCCUCCAAUCCGGUGGCAAAUCCUGUUCCAAAAGUCCGUGUCAGCGUUACCUUUGCUGCUCUCCACGAACUGGGCGGUGAUUUUUUUGAGCAUGACACGCCACUUCUGGCACUCGCUCCCGUAUUUCUCCAGCUCGUCCACCCUCCGAUCGAUUUCCUCCCAAUCCUCGGUGGUUCCCAGGAGAGUCACGUAUGGAAUCCCGCAGCAGAGACGAAACCUGGGAGAAGAUCACCCAAAAAAGUUGCCAGCUUUAAAGACAACAAGAAAAUCAAUGGAAAAUCCACACCCAAAAACCACGAACACCACACCAAACACGUAGAAAACCCAUGAACUCCAUGCAUUGCAAGACACUCAUCGAAACAAAGAACUUAAAAACACAAAUGCAAACGAGAAAAAUAAAAACCAUGAAGAAAGCUUGCCUGUAUUCGAAGUAGCUCUUGAAGGUGGCCAUGAGAACCACACUGCCCACCACCACAUCGUUCUUGGUCGUGGUCGAGAAGCUCGGCAAGAUCCAGUCGCAAACCUUCUCGUCCUUGACAGUCUCCUUGAGCGCCACGCUCAUCUCCCUCGCCAGGAGCCCAUAGUCGCCGCUGUGGAGCGCGGCCUGCUCGGACACAACCAGCUCCUUCUUUCCCUCGUGAUCCACCAAGAUGGAUCGCAGCGCCUCCGCGUUGCCAUUGACGAAGAAUCCAAACUGGACAGCGAUGGCGAGCCACACAUCGUCGGGCCGGAUCACCAGAUUGUGAUGGAAGCUGUAAGCUUUGAUCGCAGCUGCCACAAACCCGUUCUUUUCCGGCAGAAACGCGGUCGCACCGACGCUUGUGCCCUGCAACACAUCGUAGCAGCCCUCCUGCUCGAAUUCCAUGAAUCGCUCCAGGAAAUGGGCACUCCCCGCCGGAGAUGGCUUCACCUCGGCCGGAUCCUUCUUGGACACCCUAAAUGACACCAUUCUCUCCUCUCCCCCCCUCGCUAUUCUCUCUUCUCCUUCCUCGCUAGUCUUCGUACAAGUGGCCGUAGAAACCCCAAAUCCCACAAAUCUAGACCGUUAAUAUGAGAACUCCAAACCCACACCGUUAGAUAAAGAUCUUUACAAGCCUUCGAAUCCACACCGUUAAAUCAGUAGAGAUAAACACAACAGUUUAAAUAUUAGCGAAAAAGCACCAGCUUAUAGGAGAUUGGCCUUCUUGAGCGUGUUCUUAUGGCCCAGACGCUCUUUGGAGCAUCGUCAUCCUGGGCAAUCUCGUAUCCCAUAUGUCCCAUCUUGACAUCCACAGUGAGGUGGCCAUCGGCUAGGGAGGAAAGCUCAGCAAUAUCGAUCUUGUGGUGUUGCCUGCCCAUUCACACAGGAUCAGAUCGAGCAAGAAGCAUUUGCAACUCUCGUUGCGAACGUGGCUUUAUGGCCAUCAAGGCUCCAGGAUUGGAGAGAGGAAGGCUCAGUAUCUUGACGCACUGGAGGUAAGUAGAGUUUUCUAUUUUCCAAGAUUUGUACAUCAGAGGCACGGGAAGCGGGCUGUCUUUGGAUAAAGGUUGAAGUCCUUCGGAAGGACAACUGUUGGGGACAAGAAACCGACUCAAAUUUGCAAGGUGUGUUUCCGAUUGCUAUUUCCAUUCUCUGUCAUAACUUUUCUUUGUAGGUGCUGAACGAAAUUGUCCAAUGGAGUCACAGCUGUGACUGCAUGCAUCGUUUUUUUGUUCUGUUUUCGUUUUAAUAUUGAUUCACGCAGGUCGUAGAUGUGAGGCCGAAGAUCUGCUGCUGAUGAUGCCCUCCAAAGUUCAUGGCAAUGGUAAGAACAUUGAUGUUGCUGCUGGAGAAACUUUUGGAGAUGAAACAGAGGGACUCGGCACUCUGCCAUUCAUUGAAGACCAAGGAAGAUCAAGCUCAGGGCAGAGGAUAUCUAAGGCCGGAACAUUCUCACCAGCUUCUGGAUAAGAGAUUCUUUUUUUCUUCAGCUUAGUCAUAAAUUAAAUAUUACUAGACCUAAAUAGUUAACAUUGUUUAUUAAUAUAAUUUCAACUUAAAACCCCCUUGUUUGACGAGGGUUCUUUGUGAUGUACCAACAUCGAACACUGAUGAUGUACCAACAUCAUCGGACAAAGUGAUAGAACUUCCACGGGGUGAGCCUGAGUGAAAGCAAAGAACUAGCUUCUAUACCUCUAAGUAGGUAUCCAUCUAGCACUACCUGGUCAAAAUCCCAUUCUAGAACCUGUAAUGCAGCAGUGUCUCCAAAAAUUUAUUCAAGAGCCAAACUAUUUACGGUUGCAACUAAAGUUUCUGCCUGGUCACUUGUCCCUUAAUGUUUGGCACGGCGAAGUUUCAAAACACUUGAGUAGUGUUUGUAAUAGAUGAACAAAGUAACAAGAAAAUCUACCAUACCUUGAUACUUUGUCCCCAUGAAAGAAGAAACGAAAUCGGAACUCCUGUCACUCUUGCCAUUUAAUUAUAGUUUAUACAAACAUCAACUUUUCAAGCAAUUGUUGAGGCAGAUAUGCAUCCUAACAGAAGAAAAUGGAAAAUAUAACAUAAAACCAAAGUGCAAAGCACAUUAUCUUUUUGAUCCAGGGAUUCAUGAAGCAUGUGAGGAACAACAUUUUUUUCAGUCUUUAUAUAUAUUAUGUUGAAUCCAGGGACAACAUGAAGCUUUCUACUUCUUGUAAUAAGCUGGUGGAGGUGGCUACGUACUUGUAGUAAUAGUAAGGUGGUGGUGGGUAUUUGUUGUAGUAAUGAGGAGGUGGUGGAGCCUCGUACUUACUCGUACUUGUAAUAAGGAGGAGGUGGCAGGACUUGUACUAGGUAGUGGAGACUCGUAUUUGGUGGCGGAGACUCAUACUUAGGCAGUGGAUACUUACAUGGGAGACUCAUACUUGUAAUAAGGAGGCAGUGGAGAUUUAGUAAUAUGGAGGGGGUGGUGACGAUUCAUACUUGUAUGGUGGCGGUGGUGGACUCUCAUACUUGUAUGGUGGCAGCGGUGGUGACUCAUACUUGUAUGGUGGUGGAGGCGGCGACUCAUACUUGUAUGAUGGCGGCGGUGGCGACUGAUACUUGUAUGGGGGCGGUGGUGGCGACUCAUACUUGUAUGGCGGCGGUGGUGGACUCUCAUACUUGUAUGGUGGCGGCGGUGGUGACUCAUACUUGUAUGGCGGUGGUGGUGGACUCUCAUGGUGGUGACUCAUACUUGUAUGGUGGCGGAGGCGGCGACUGAUACUUGUAUGGGGGCGGUGGUGGUGGCUCAUACUUGUAUGGCGGCGGCGGUGGACUCUCAUACUUGUAUGGUGGCGGCAGUGGUGACUCAUACUUGUAUGGUGGCGGAGGCGGCGACUCAUACUUGUAUGGCGGCGGCGGUGGACUCUCAUACUUGUAUGGUGGCGGAGGUGGCGACUCAUACUUGUAUGGGGGCGGUGGUGGCGACUCAUACUUGUAUGGCGGCGGUGGUGGACUCUCAUACUUGUAUGGUGGCGGCGGUGGUGACUGAUACUUGUAUGGUGGCGGAGGCGGCGACUCAUACUUGUAUGGCGGUGGCGGUGGACUCUCAUACUUGUAUGGUGGCGGAGGUGGCGACUCAUACUUGUAUGGGGGCGGUGGUGGCGACUCAUACUUGUAUGGCGGCGGUGGUGGACUCUCAUACUUGUAUGGUGGCGGCGGUGGUGACUGAUACUUGUAUGGUGGCGGAGGCGGCGACUCAUACUUGUAUGGCGGUGGCGGUGGACUCUCAUACUUGUAUGGUGGCGGCGGUGGUGACUCAUACUUGUAUGGAGGGGGUGGUGGCGACUCAUACUUGUAUGGCGGUGGUGGUGGACUCUCAUACUUGUAUGGUGGCGGAGGCGGCGACUCAUACUUGUAUGGUGGCGAUGGUGGCGACUCAUACUUGUAAGGAGGCGAUUCAUACUUGUAGUAUGGUGGUGGUGGGGAUUUGUAGUAGUAGUAUGGUGGUGGAGGGGAAACAUACUUGUAGUAUGGCGGUGCAGGGGAUUCAUACUUGUAAUAAGAGGGAGGUGGAGGUGACAAAUAUUUGUAGUAGGGAGUGAAGUCUGGCAUUGGAGGGAAGGAGAAAUCAAAUGCCUGAACCUGGCUGCUUUUCAACAGGACAAGAGCAGCAGCCAGCAGGGCCAUUGCAAAAUGGCAGCUGCCCAUCCUCUACCUAUCAAAAUCCCUUGGAUUUCCUUCUUUCCAAUCUAUUCAAGCCUUCUUUCCAAUCUAUUCAAGCCUAGCUCCAAAGCCCUCAAGUUGUCGUUCCCGUCUCUUCUUUCCCUUUU
rnacentral:lncRNA from 1 species